AGUGAACGCUGGCGGUAGGCCUAACACAUGCAAGUCGAACGGCAGCACAGGAGAGCUUGCUCUCUGGGUGGCGAGUGGCGGACGGGUGAGGAAUACAUCGGAAUCUACUCUGUCGUGGGGGAUAACGUAGGGAAACUUACGCUAAUACCGCAUACGACCUACGGGUGAAAGCAGGGGACCUUCGGGCCUUGCGCGGUUGAAUGAGCCGAUGUCGGAUUAGCUAGUUGGCGGGGUAAAGGCCCACCAAGGCGACGAUCCGUAGCUGGUCUGAGAGGAUGAUCCGCCACACUGGAACUGGGACACGGUCCAGACUCCUACGGGAGGCAGCAGUGGGGAAUAUUGGACAAUGGGCGCAAGCCUGAUCCAGCCAUACCGCGUGGGUGAAGAAGGCCUUCGGGUUGUAAAGCCUUUUUGUUGGGAAAGAAAUCCAGCUGGCUAAUACCCGGUUGGGAUGACGGUACCCAAAGAAUAAGCACCGGCUAACUUCGUGCCAGCCGCCGCAGUAA
rnacentral:rRNA from 1 species